rnacentral:lncRNA from 1 species
UAGUGAAUCGACUAGAUCUUGAAGAAGAUGAUUCUGGUGAUGUAUUUUGAGAUACCCGAGACUUCAAGGACCUAAAUGAUGACUCUACUUUGGUUAUUUGACUGGGAUCUCUUCAUGCAACUUGUAGAGGAUACCUUGAUGUAUAACAUAUCCAAAUUUCAGAGGAAACGAAAGAGAAUAGGUAGGUUAAAUCUCAAUAUUUCGGUGAUAUGUGCACUGGACGAUGCGGUAAUGGAUCCAGAAGAUUCGUGAGGGUUGUAUAAAAU